rnacentral:misc_RNA from 1 species
GAUGAAGAACGUAGCGAAAUGCGAUAAGUAAUGUGAAUUGCAGAAUUCAGUGAAUCAUCGAAUCUUUGAACGCACAUUGCGCCCCUUGGUAUUCCGAGGGGCAUGCCUGUUCGAGCGUCAUUAUAACCCCUCAAGCUCAGCUUGGUGUUGGGGCCUACUGCACUGGCAGCCCUUAAAAUCAGUGGCGGCGCCAUCUGGCUCUAAGCGUAGUAAUUCUUCUCGCUAUGGAGUCCUGGUGGAUGCUUGCCAUCAACCCCCAAUUUUUCUAUGGUUGACCUCGGAUCAGGUAGGGAUACCCGCUGAACUUAAGCAUAUCAAUAAGCGGAGGA